UGAGGGAUAUUGCGCAAUGGGGGAAACCCUGACGCAGCGACGCCGCGUGGGCGAUGAAGGCUUUCGGGUCGUAAAGCCCUUUUCCCACUGAGGAGAACGGACAGUAGGUGGGGAAUAAGUCUCGGCUAACUACGUGCCAGCAGCCGCGGUAAAACGUAGGAGGCGAGCGUUAUCCGGAGUUACUGGGCGUAAAGCGCGUGCAGGCGGUUCGGUAAGUGGCGGGUGAAAGCGCCUGGCUCAACUGUUGAAAGCCGGUGGAUACUGUCGGGCUAGAGUACGGAAGAGGCAAGUGGAAUUCCUGGUGUAGCGGUGGAAUGCGCAGAUAUCAGGAGGAACACCUAUAGCGAAGGCAGCUUGCUGGGACGUUACUGACGCUAAGGCGCGAAAGCGUGGGGAGCGAACAGGAUUAGAAACCCGUGUAG
rnacentral:rRNA from 1 species